rnacentral:rRNA from 1 species
CCGACCUGAACUCAGACGUGAUU